UCAAUAAGCGGAGGAAAAGAAACCAACAGGGAUUGCCUCAGUAACGGCGAGUGAAGCGGCAACAGCUCAAAUUUGAAAUCUGGCAUCCGCCCGAGUUGUAAUUUGCAGAGGAUGCUUCGGGGCCGCGGCCGAUCUAAGUCCUUUGGAACAGGGCGUCACAGAGGGUGAGAAUCCCGUAUGUGAUCGGCUAGCACCUCACACGUAGCUCCUUCGACGAGUCGAGUUGUUUGGGAAUGCAGCUCUAAAUGGGAGGUAAAUUUCUUCUAAAGCUAAAUACCGGCCAGAGACCGAUAGCGCACAAGUAGAGUGAUCGAAAGAUGAAAAGCACUUUGGAAAGAGAGUCAAACAGCACGUGAAAUUGUUGAAAGGGAAGCGCAUGCAACCAGACUUGUCGGCGGUGUUCCCCCGGUCUUCUGACCGGGUCACUCGCCGCCGGCAGGCCAGCAUCGUUUGCGACCGCCGGAGAAAGGCGUAGGGAAUGUGGCUCCUCGGAGUGUUAUAGCCCUGCGCACAAUACGGUGCGUCGCGAGCGAGGUCCGCGCUUCGGCUAGGAUGCUGGCGUAAUGGUCGUAUGCGGCCCGUCUUGAAACACGGACCAAGGAGUCUACCAUCUAUGCGAGUGUUCGGGUGUCAAACCCCUACGCGCAAUGAAAGUGAACGGAGGUGGGAACGCAAGUGCACCAUCGACCGAUCCUGAUGUCUUCGGAUGGGAUUUGAGUAAAGAGCAUAGCUGGUGGGACCCGAAAGAUGGUGAUCUUUACUUUGAAUAGGGGUGGAA
rnacentral:rRNA from 1 species